CCUACGGGAGGCAGCAGUGAGGAAUAUUGGUCAAUGGACGAGAGUCUGAACCAGCCAAGUAGCGUGAAGGAUGACUGCCCUAUGGGUUGUAAACUUCUUUUAUAAAGGAAUAAAACGAGGCACGUGUGCCUUUUUGCAUGUACUUUAUGAAUAAGGAUCGGCUAACUCCGUGCCAGCAGCCGCGGUAAUACGGAGGAUCCGAGCGUUAUCCGGAUUUAUUGGGUUUAAAGGGAGCGUAGAUGGGUUGUUAAGUCAGUUGUGAAAGGUUGCGGCUCAACCGUAAAAUUGCAAUUGAUACUGGCAGUCUUGAGUACAGUUGAGGUAGGCGGAAUUCGUGGUGUAGCGGUGAAAUGCUUAGAUAUCACGAAGAACUCCGAUUGCGAAGGCAGCUUACUAAACUGCCACUGACAUUGAUGCUCGAAAGUGUGGGUAUCAAACAGGAUUAGAUACCCCGGUAGUC
rnacentral:rRNA from 1 species